rnacentral:rRNA from 1 species
GAUGAACGCUGGCGGCGUGCCUAAUACAUGCGAGUCGAGCGAACGGACGAGAAGCUUGCUUUUCUGAUGUUAGCGGCGGACGGGUGAGUAACACGUGGAUAACCUACCUAUAAGACUGGGAUAACUUCGGGAAACCGGAGCUAAUACCGGUUAAUAUUUUGAACCGCAUGGUUAAAAAGUGAAAGACGGUCUUGCUGUCACUUAUAGAUGGAUCCGCGCUGCAUUAGCUAGUUGGUAAGGUAACGGCUUACCAAGGCAACGAUGCAUAGCCGACCUGAGAGGGUGAUCGGCCACACUGGAACUGAGACACGGUCCAGACUCCUACGGGAGGCAGCAGUGGGGAAUCUUCCGCAAUGGGCGAAAGCCUGACGGAGCAACGCCGCGUGAGUGAUGAAGGUCUUCGGAUCGUAAAACUCUGUUAUUAGGGAAGAACAUAUGUGUAAGGAACUGUGCACAUCUUGACGGUACCUAAUCAGAAAGCCACGGCUAACUACGUG